GAGGAUAUAGCUCAGAGGUAGAACGUGUGCUUAAUAGGCACGAGGUCCUGGGUUCAAUCCCCAGCACCUGCA
rnacentral:tRNA from 1 species